GCAAGGACAGCUUCCUACCCAUCAUAAAAAGGCCUCUUGCACACGGCGUUGCUGGCCGUGACCCAUGUUGCGGCCCGCAAUAUGUGUGCUCCCUGCAUCACAGAUGCGGACCCAUUCACUUGAAUGGGUCCGCAAUCCGGA